CUCGCUUAAAGUCUCUUUCUGGAGGCAAGUGCAUCUCCCAUGCCUCAUCAGCUGGAUGUCAGCACCAGAUCAUCCCAUCAAGCAUGGAAGCAUCUACAUAACGAGGGCACAGUCCAGGGCACCAGCAACCCUCAAGGGAGUGUGCUGUGUCUUUGCUAAGAUGCCUCAAGAUUCUGCCACUGUCUGCAUUAGAAACAAGCAGCUAAGUUUCCCAGGAGAAAGAAGAAAAAGAAAAACAACCAUGCACCUGACCCGUAGCUACCCUUUUUCAGGAUGAGAGGCUCACAUCCGGAAUAUCAC